rnacentral:rRNA from 1 species
UGGGGAAUAUUGGACAAUGGGCGAAAGCCUGAUCCAGCCAUGCCGCGUGUAGUGAAGAAGGUCUUCGGAUUGUAAAGCACUUUAAGUUGGGAGGAAGGGCAGUACAGUUAAUACCUGUGCCUGAUUUUGACGUUACCGACAGAAUAAGCACCGGGCUAACUCUGUAGC